CUGGGAUUGGGGACAUCAUGAUGCAGCAGCUGGAGAUGAGUCAGGAAUUGUCAGAUCUAUGAUUUAGCCAUCUGAGAUGGCGUGACUCAACUAUUUUAAAGUCCGAUGAUUCAUUGAUCUGAAAAUGCACAAGUUGAGCCUGUGGCAUUUGGGGAAGCGCGUGUGGGGCGAGGACAGAGCUGGGAGAACGUGCAAGGCUGUGCAGCUGAGGGAUCUGACUCAGAGACAACUGCAGAAACCCGAGCGUGGAGGCGUGACAUGGGAGUCUGAGUGGCCACCUGUUGUGCAGAUCACACCAGCCGCUCCCGCGGUGGGACCAGGCGCUGGGUCAGGGUCAGCGACGGGAUGUGCAACAGAUAAUGCUUUGCAGCUCAUACGACACCCAAUCAGCAUGACCCCCAGGGGUCCUGGAGCCAGCUUGGGCUGGAGAGUGCCCCGGUGCCCAUCUCCUCCCACCUCCGCUCCCAGUGAUGGUAAAUCGGCUGCAUCUACUCCACGGAAAUUAACAAAUGCUACAGAUCAGUCCUGAGCCCUCUGAGGGCGGGUUGUUGCCCACGUGCCAGCACACCACUGAUUCACUAAAAAGUUAGGCCACUGGACUCCUGGCCUCCAGCCAGCACCCUGGAUAGGCAAGACUGCCAGCCGGCCCCUCACAGGCUCUGCGUCCCCUGGUUCCCGCAGCCCAUCAGUGUGCACUCACGGCCCAGCACCCGGAAGCAGCAGCCGGCAGGGGUGGAGGCACAGCGAGGGGGCUGCCCAGCUGUGCCGGGCGAGUGUGUGAGCCGGGCCAGUGGCAGGAGGUGGCUUCUAGGUGGUUGCUCUCUGGUCUGGGCCUGGUUCGGCUUUUCCCUCUGCCCGGUCCGUACGGAUCUUCCCGGACUCCUGCUCCAGUGGUCUGCCCGUCUUCCUUUUCCAGAGAGAGAAGUUGUGUGCUCUUGUCUUCCGGGACAGCUGAGUGCGUAUGCGGCUGGGAGGGGCCGGGGCCCACAGCAGGCUGUCCGUCCUCACCCCGACUCUCCUCACUCUUCCCAAAUUAACUUCCGGGGGGUCGGCUGCUGAGGACUCGGCGUCCAGUGGGCACUUCCCAAGGCCGCUCACCACAUAGGCUUUCCUCCAUCCUCUGCAGAGAGGAUAAAGAAAGAGACACACAAAUGGGGAAGAAUCAUUUCUUCUCGCUUCUGGAGUCCAGGGCCGGGUGGGAGCUGCUGGGCCCGAGACCCUUCCACGCACACCCUGCUGACCAGCAAAGGUCUUCCCUCCCUUGUCUGCCUGAUGCUCUCCCACUUUGAGACUCACCCCCUGGGCGAAGUCCCCGGCAUGUGGGCCAGCCGGCCCCUCCCCUGCUGCACCUGGUUUGGCUCCAUCCUGUGUCACCUGUCCUUGGUGGAAUCCCAAAGGGCGGAGGACGCCCUAUUCUCUCCCACUCAGCAUCGGGCCCUGAAUGUUUGGUAAAGGUUUGUUAAAGUGAAUUAAGGAAGGAAAAGUCCCAAGAUCCCAAAGAAGACAAGUCACAGAAGAGAAGAAGAUAUUUGCAAUGUAUGGAACCCACAAGACUUUGUAUCCAGAAUAGGUAAAGUGCUCCCGAGAAAAUCGAUUACAAAACAGCAGGCAACCGAAUAGGAAAACAGGCAGGAUACUGGACACUUUGGUGCUUUGCAAAGAGGAAACCCGAAUGGCCAUAAGCCACGGAAAAGGUGCCCAGCCUCUCGGGCAUCAGGGAGGUGCACGUUAACCACAGCGAAUUACCACGACACAGACGCCAGGUCGGCGAAGAUGCUGUGUGGACAGGGCUGGGGAGGAAUGGGCACUCCCAUGCGCUGAGCACAAAUUGGUGAAACCGCUUUGGGAAAUGGUUUAACGGCAUCCAGUCAACUUGAAAUUCCAAAUGUCUGACUUGGCAACUGGAGAAGUUGAGUGUAGUAAUGGCACCAAGAUAUAUGCACACAAAUGGUCAUGGUGGCCUUGUUCCUAAUGCCAGAAGAUGGAAACGGCCGUCAAGAGCAGAACAGAGAGACAUGCUGCUGUAGGAAACGAGGCGCAGGGGAGAGGGCACCCAUCCACCACCUCCCGGCACGAUGCGCCCCCCAUGGCUGAACCCAGGAGACACCCCUGGGCUCUCAGCUCCCCCGCCCUGGCGAGGAGGGCUUGGCUGCUCUUCCUGGACUCAAGAAGACUAGUGGGGAAACUGAGUCAUUAUUCCAUGGCAGCUGAGAGCACCAGCAUGUCGGAUUCAAAAGGUCCAGAGAAAGUGAAUUUCAGCCAAACAGCAUCACUGGCCGCAUCCCGUAGGUGGUGUUAAUAUUAGUUUUAUUGGCUUUUCGCGGUUGUUUGCAUGUGGUUUGCAAAAUCUAGUUUUACAUUUGAAUAUGUUUCAAUAUUAUAAUAAACCUGAUUUAAGUCAA
ensembl:lncRNA